CAAGCAUUUGUUAUUGCAUAGAAAGAAGAAAAGUUUCCAUUUCGGGCCGACGGGCUUGUAAAUUGGAUUCAAUUGCCAUUCCUGGGCCCGAUCAUUCUUUUUCUUGAAACUCCGCCACUGAUUCGAUCACUUCUUCUGAUUGCUGCCUCUUGAUUUACAUUGAAAGACUUCCUGCUAAUCCUGUUUUUUUUGUUUUUUGGUUAAUCAUCUAUAUAGGGUUUCAUGCGAAUUACUUUGAGGACUAUGUUUAUCUGAUUUCGACUGGAAUUGCAUGAGAUUAAAUGCUGAUUUACGUUUAGUAAUCCUGGUUUUGUUCAUUGCAGUUUUUGAUCUACCCACUUAAGGUAGGUGUACAGAAUUCUUGGAAUAUGUUGCCAUUUUAUGAUUUGGGCAAGUGAACUACAAACAUCAAGCGGGCUUGGUUGAAUUCGAUUACCAGUGUGAAUACCUAUUUGCAAUUACAAAGACCAAACACGGCCAAAGCAUCAGAGAGAAUGUUAUGCAAUCACAUUGUAAGUGCAUUCACUCCCUCGUUUUAGGGACAGCCCUCCUCCUGCAGUCCUGAUUUGGUGGAGGCCAUUAAUUGGUGCAUUUAUUUGCUUCAACUGCCGCUGGAAUGGGAUUCAGAAUGAUGGUCUAAUCACCACUUGUAAGUGCAUUUACAUCAAAUUAGCAGCUUUGUUCUUUCUUCAAUAUGGAAGCCAAGUUGACAGAUAAGCGAGUGCAUUAGGUGCUUUUUUAUGCCUUUUUUUACUUUCAUUUGCCCUCUUUGAGUUGGUUGAUUAACAUUUAAAUGUCUUUUUGAUUUGGCACUCAUUGCGGGUUAAUAUCUUUCUUUCUUCCGCAACUUUAGUUAAAGUAUAGAAACCAUCCUUAUUAUUCGAAUCAUUAUAUUUCAUUCAUGUUUAUCAUACACAAUUAGUAUACCUGUCAGUAUUGUUUUCAUUAUACUGCCACCGUGUAUCUGUAGUGCUUCCAUUACCAAAACAUCUCAUAUGGUCCACAUGGGUUGUAAGUGUAAAUAUUCAAAUUAUGAAGAUAAUUUCUGUGAAUUAAUCACAAUUUUAGGUUUUUACAUUAAUUAGUGAAAUUACUCUAAAAUUUAUAUGAAAUGAAAUGAAGUUAAUAUGUAUUCUGCCCUCUUGGCUGAUAGAUUCACCAUUUAUAGUAAGGUGAAAAGUGACGCCAAACGACUCCUCCUCCUCACGAAAUAGAUGGCCUAAUCUUUGUACACAUAUCGUGUAUAUAUUAAAUGAAAUGGAAGAUGCAAUAAUUAAAUCCAAUCUGCUACCCAAUACCUAUUGCAUUUUUAUGAUUCCUCCCAACUGCAUUACCCAACGCAUCUUGCAUUUUUAUGAGUCCUCAAUAGCAUUUACUACCACCGCUUGAAGAGUUAAUUCCCCAUACCCAUGAGCAGUCAAUUUGUCGAACCAGAUUUUACCACGUACAGGGACCUCAGUCAUUACAUGGUAUAAGAAAAUUAUUUCGAACAACCUCAAUUUGUGUUUCAAGUUAUUCUAGUACUGCAGCUAAUGGAAAAUGCACAAGUACUCGAGCUUCACUUAUUUGAUAUGCGCAGGAAAUUCAAUUUCUUGGUCGAUGUUCUUUGACCUUUAUAUGAAUCUGUGGUCGUGUCGUUUUAACUUGCUACUUUGUCUUGUAUUAUCUAUUCUUUUUGUGAUUAGAUAUCUAGAUGUAUUACCUAGGGCUUAACAUUUGAAUUACUCAAUCAUAGAUGGGAAGACAAGAUACUUGGCUAGUUCUUCUUUCUUUCUUUUUUUUUUAUUUGAACUGAUGAACUAUUAGUAAUUGAAAUAACUCAAUUACAAUCCUUUUUGUCAAAUAUCAAUACGUAACAAAGACAAUUACAACAAUCAUACCCUCGAUAAUAUCAAAUAAGUGAAAUCUAAACAAACCUACUAAUACAGUAUACAACACCUACUAUACAGUAGAAUAACAUCCCACACAUAUAGCUGAGUUCGAACCCAUUACUCUUAAAGUCAUGGGGCGUCAAUUUCACAAACUGAGCUAGGUCUUAUUGACGAGAUACUUGGCUAGUUGGAAACACCAUAUGGUAACUGUUCUCUUUUUUUUUUUUUUUGUACAUCACUCAAUAUGUUCAAAUUCAAAGAUUUAUACAUCAAUAAUUCAAAUCAACGAAUAUAUUGGUUUAUUACUUGAAUGUCACUCUCUUGCCACUACUUCAGCUAUGUAUUUCGGAUGUACUUCUUGAGCACAAUACUUAGUCUUUCUGUAUCCACAUACCAACUGUGCAAUCACUCUAUACAAAAUCUUGUAGCCGUGUGGCUGGGAUUUUACGCCUUAUUCUAGGGUGGUUAGUCCCUAUAUGCAUUUUAACAUUCAUUUAAUCUAGUCUCUACUCCAGCCCGCCAGAACGCAAGAUUAUUGUCGCUCUCUCUCUCUUGCAUUAAGGAUAAAGGUACAUGAGAAAUAAGGAAGUUGAUCACAGUUAAGGUGCCUUAAAUUCACAUUUAGGUAUUUGUACAGAUACAUGUCCUGCAAAUUGAGCCGUGUACAACUGCUACUCCUUCAGGACAACUACGUGUUACCCAUUGAUACUUCUGGUAUUUAUUUAGGCAAUCAAUCAACACUUGAAAAACAAUAGUAUACUCUAUUUGGUACCACAUUUCAAAAUCAGCACAGUUGAAACUAACCAACUUCAAUUAAUUUUUCCUCUUUAUUUGCACACUCUUGCUAGUUAUGGCUUUCAUAUACCCUUGAUUUUAUUUUGUGCUCCCUCAACUAUAUGUUUUGCGCCAUGUAAUUGCUGAAUAUAUUUUGAAAAUUAUAUUUAUAUAAAUUAAGUAUAAAAUUAAAUCAAUCGAAAAACUCAAUGAUGUCACAUUCUACGAUGAUCCCAUAAAUUAAGUAUAAAACUGAAGUCAUUUGUAGUUGGCCUAGUGUAACAUAGUUAAUCGAAGAGUUAAAUCACGAGUAUAAGUAUGAAGAAUAAGUAUCCCCACAAAUGAAUUAUUUGUGGAGCUUUAAUAUACCUUAGAAUCGAAAGAAAUUUAGUUCAAGGGGACCACGACUUCAAGGUUAAACACGUGUUGUAAUGAGACCAUCAUUUGCGUCUAUUUGGAUGUCCUUAUUGUAAAUUUACAAUUCACCAAUUCACAGCUCACUUAAUACACGUGUUUCACUAGAAUCGGAAGACGUGUUCAAGAAUAAACAUAUCCUUAGAUAUGAACUGCUCCUACAUUUACCAUCCCACAAAACUUUUCUUACUAUGAUACAAUUAAACUUAACGAUGCUUUUCAUCAAUAUGAGAGGGCAUCAGGCUCAGAAGGUGGUGUCUAACACCUAGGACUCGGGCAACAAUGGAGCCCUAAUUACUACAACCAGCAACACUAACUAAUGGUAUUGAUAUAUUUUGGUGGUCGGUGGGAGGGUGGUGGUUGUACCCUAUAGCUCUAGUUUGUGUCUUUGUGAUGGAUGGCGAAGCCCACAUGCCGCUUUUAAUUAGGUUGGUUCGCAGUUCCGCAUGUCUCUGCGGCUCUCCCUCUUCCACUUCCAGGGUUAGACGCCACCUACCCUACUGCCCCAUUUAUUUUUUGUUAACUAUUAGUAUAAACAUUAUUGUAUUUAAUAAGUGUAAAAAUUAUAUCAUGUAUUUAUUUUUAAAAAUUAUACAUAUAAUAACUUGGCCAAGUGGUAAGCAAUUGUGGUCUAUGGACAGAUGUUCGAAACCCACUGGAGACAUGAAUUCAGGGGUACUUCUCUUCGUGUGACUUGACCUGAGAUAUUAUAUAGGGAUAAUUACGUUUACAUUCCUUGAUCUAUGGCAUGUUUACACAAAUCAUCCCCUAAAAAUAUUAGCAUCAUUAUACAAACUAUCUCUAUUUUUUAACUAUUAGAGGUAGUUUUUAUAAUUAUAUAAAAAAUAUGAAUAAUUUGUGUAAAUAAAAUAUAGAUCAGGGAUGUGAAUAUAAUUAUCCAUAUUAUAUAUGCUAGUGAUUGAUGUUUAUUUUGAAAUUUUAUUAUAUGUGU